CGCUCGAGCGUGGCGUCGUUCGCGAGCCGAGGAACACAGCCUGUCCUUGUCGGAUGACGAGGGGGUCCGAGCGCAGCGGAGCGCCCCAAGUGGGAGUCGCACGCGGAGGUCGACACGGUGCCCUACCUGCGACGAAAAAGAUGAACGUGGGAAUUUCGAUUUCAUUGCAAUUUGGAUAUUUUAGAGCGUACACUAAGCAGGAAACUCCACCAUGCCCCGCAUCGAUCAUCCUGCGACCAGUCGAAUACGACGUAUGAUAAUUGUCGCAGACGGAUCGGAACUUAUGCACCCCAAUACCAAACGCAAUCCGCUUCCCUGCAUCGAUAUGCCGCUAAUUGUGACCAUUUCGCAUCGUGCACCGCUAGCAUCACGCUCUACACGAGUUUAAGGUUCAGCAGCUGCGUUGCGUCGUUACGUCGUUACGUCUAAAUGCUGGGUCGAAUCCUGCUAUACCGUCUGAACAAUAAUACCGAUAACCGCGGAGAUACGUCCUUUGUACUUGUUGUUAAUAGAACAACAAGAUACUGCGGUAACCAAAGCUAUUUAAACCAUUUAAUUGAACCACGUGUAUAGAUUAGUAGAUAUCCACCGCUCAGCACCUUGUUGGAAUAGUUAAUUUCUGCUUCAGCUGCAGUGCGGUCACGGAAAAUAUACGGAUGAUUACCUAUUGGUAGUACGAUAGAACAGAGAGACUACGGAAACACAACGGGCUUUCUUAGGGGAUGUUUCAGUUAAUUGAAACGAUCGAUUGAAUUCCAGAAUUUACGGAUACUCGAUCACUGAAAAAUUCAAUUUACUUCUUUUCAAUCGUGAAUUUCUUUCAAAUUCUACAAUUUUUUAAGACUUGGACCUAACUAAUUCGUUCUCGGUUUAUAAAUUGCACGAAUAUCGCAUGAAAUUUAUUAACUUCGGAUGAGCCGCGACACUUCUCAACAAUCGUGGUAACAAAAUUCGAUGAAUUUUGAUUGGAAACCAUUUACUUCAAAUAUAAUCAUUCAUUCUGCACAUAACAUAUGUAAGGUAUACAAUAUAAUUUAAUUUAAUACAAUAUAACCGUACAGAUUUUGCAUGAAUGAUUGUAUGUAUAAUUUGUAAAUUCAUUCUCGCUAUUUUAGGAGG